AGAUUGAACGCUGGCGGCAUGCCUUACACAUGCAAGUCGAACGGCAGCACGGACUUCGGUCUGGUGGCGAGUGGCGAACGGGUGAGUAAUAUAUCGGAACGUACCCUGGAGUGGGGGAUAACGCAGCGAAAGUUGCGCUAAUACCGCAUACGAUCUACGGAUGAAAGUGGGGGCUCGCAAGACCUCAUGCUCGUGGAGCGGCCGAUAUCUGAUUAGCUAGUUGGUAGGUAAAAGCCUACCAAGGCAUCGAUCAGUAGCUGGUCUGAGAGGACGACCAGCCACACUGGGACUGAGACACGGCCCAGACUCCUACGGGAGGCAGCAGUGGGAAUUUGGACAAGUGGGGGCAACCCUGAUCCAGCAAUGCCGCGUGAGUGAAGAGCGUUCGGUUGUAAGUCUCGUUUGUACGAGGAAGAACGGUAGAAGGUACUAAGUAAUUCCGUUUAGACGUAAGUAGUAA
rnacentral:rRNA from 1 species